AUGCUCCAACUUGGCUCGGGGGGAUAUAGCUCAGUUGGUAGAGCUCCGCUCUUGCAAUUGGUUCGUUGCGAUUACGGUAAUGGGAAAGAGGACCGAAACAUACCACUGAAAGACUCUACUGAGACAAAGAUGGGCUGUCAAGAACGUAGAGGAGUUGGAGUCGGUGGCUCUCCUAGGGUUUCCUCAUCUGAGAUCCUGGGGAAGAGGAUAAAGCUGGCCCUUGCGAACAAACAGCUUGAUGCACUAUCUCCCUUAAACCCUUUGAGCGAAAUGCGGGAAAACAAAAGGAAAGAAAAUCCAUGGACCGACCCCAUCGUCUCCACCCCGUAG
rnacentral:lncRNA from 1 species